GUGCCCGCAGCCGCGGUAAUACGUAGGGUGCGAGCGUUGUCCGGAAUUAUUGGGCGUAAAGAGCUCGUAGGCGGUGUGUCGCGUCGGCCGUGAAAACCUGGGGCUCAACUCUGGGCGUGCGGUCGAUACGGGCAUCACUUGAGUUCGGCAGGGGAGACUGGAAUUCCUGGUGUAGCGGUGAAAUGCGCAGAUAUCAGGAGGAACACCGGUGGCGAAGGCGGGUCUCUGGGCCGAUACUGACGCUGAGGAGCGAAAGCAUGGGUAGCGAACAGGAUUAGAUACCCUGGUAGUCC
rnacentral:rRNA from 1 species